GGGCACGUGGCGGAAUCGGCAGACGCGCUGGAUUUAGGUUCCAGUGGGGCGACCCAUCCGAGUUCGAGUCUCGGCGUGCCCACCA
rnacentral:tRNA from 1 species